UGGGGAAUUUUGGACAAUGGGGGAAACCCUGAUCCAGCCAUCCCGCGUGUGCGAUGAAGGCCUUCGGGUUGUAAAGCACUUUUGGCAGGAAAGAAACGUCAUGGGUUAAUACCCCGUGAAACUGACGGUACCUGCAGAAUAAGCACCGGCUAACUACGUGCCAGCAGCCGCGGUAAUACGUAGGGUGCAAGCGUUAAUCGGAAUUACUGGGCGUAAAGCGUGCGCAGGCGGUUCGGAAAGAAAGAUGUGAAAUCCCAGAGCUCAACUUUGGAACUGCAUUUUUAACUACCGGGCUAGAGUGUGUCAGAGGGAGGUAGAAUUCCGCGUGUAGCAGUGAAAUGCGUAGAUAUGCGGCGGAACACCGAUGGCGAAGGCAGCCUCCUGAGAUAACACUGACGCUCAUGCACGAAAGCGUGGGGAGCAAACAGG
rnacentral:rRNA from 1 species